AUUGAACGCUGGCGGCAGGCCUAACACAUGCAAGUCGAACGGUAACAGGAAGAAGCUUGCUUCUUUGCUGACGAGUGGCGGACGGGUGAGUAAUGUCUGGGAAACUGCCUGAUGGAGGGGGAUAACUACUGGAAACGGUAGCUAAUACCGCAUAACGUCGCAAGACCAAAGAGGGGGACCUUCGGGCCUCUUGCCAUCGGAUGUGCCCAGAUGGGAUUAGCUAGUAGGUGGGGUAACGGCUCACCUAGGCGACGAUCCCUAGCUGGUCUGAGAGGAUGACCGGCGACACUGGAGCGGAGACACGGUCCAGACUCCUACGGGAGGCCGCAGUGGGGAAUAUUGCACAAUGGGCGCAAGCCUGAUGCAGCCAUGCCGCGUGUAUGAAGAAGGCCUUCGGGUUGUAAAGUACUUUCAGCGGGGAGGAAGGGAGUAAAGUUAAUACCUUUGCUCAUUGACGUUACCCGCAGAAGAAGCACCGGCUAACUCCGUG
rnacentral:rRNA from 1 species